rnacentral:rRNA from 1 species
UACGAAGGGGGCUAGCGUUGUUCGGAAUUACUGGGCGUAAAGCGUGCGCAGGCGGUUUUGUAAGUCUGUCGUGAAAUCCCCGGGCUCAACCUGGGAAUUGCGAUGGAGACUGCAAGGCUAGAAUCUGGCAGAGGGGGGUAGAAUUCCACGUGUAGCAGUGAAAUGCGUAGAGAUGUGGAGGAACACCGAUGGCGAAGGCAGCCCCCUGGGUCGAAGAUUGACGCUCAUGC